UAAAAUUAAAAAAAAAAAAUUUUUUCGUCAAACCCGUACGUGUGGGGUAGCUAUGGAUAGGUCUUCAAAAAUGAUAUUUAGGUUACUAAUAUAAUUUUUUUCUAAAGUGAAUAGUUUGCGCGAGAGACACUACCAAAUUGACAUGUGUAAGUAAUGCGCGUAACAUCACAAAUGAGAUAUCACUCAAACGCGUAAUGUUGCAUUACGCAUCACUCCGAGAAACCAAGCAUUACUUCAAACAUCACUCGAGCAUAUGACUGGCCGAAGCGCGCGUAAACUCGUAAAGCAUCAAUAUAGAUUGACGCGCCGGUAGUCGGUACGAAAGGUCCGUUCAAGUAGAAUCCGCGUAAUGUAUAAUGAGCAAUGAGACGUGAUGGUGUGAUGUGUGAUGUUUGUUUGCCAUGCUAUCAUUACUUUGCUAUCCCGCUCGCACCCGCACUCACUGCUCGCUCGCUCUCAUUCCGCAAUGCUUUCGGAACACUUCGGAUCGGUCCGCUCGGCCGGUCGGUAGCAGUCGCAUUUGAGUUAUUGCAAAUUUCAUUAAAUUGAUACGAUAACGGAUUUUUGCACCUGCAAUCGAUUUAAAACUGUAAUGCGUUACCAUAGAGCUUACAAUGUUUUUAGUAUUUUACCUAUAAGGAUGCGGCUAAAUGAUAAUUCGCUUGCGAGUUUGAAUUUGACGAACAAAAACGUAUUUACUGUUUAUUAUUGUUGUGAAAUGUUUGGUUUGGUUGACUUUCGCGGCAAACUAAAUUAAGCACGAGUGAAGUUACUUAUUUAUCUUUAAUUUAAUAGUGAGCUAGUGUUUACAGUACAUUCUCGUAUCAGUAUCAUAUCAUAAUUUUAUUGAUAUACCCAAAUAAAAAUACUACCUAGUGACUCUCGAUGGCGUAAUCUCAUUAAUUAACAGAUAUUUUCUUUUAUUUUUUAUCUAUGAUGCAUAUUUUACGACUAUAAAAAUAAAAACAUUACAAAAACGAUCUAUCACAUGGCGGUGACAAAACGCAAUGCGUAAUAGAUCGACGCGCCGAUAUGAUACGCCCUAGAGUCCUAACACUCGCUGCGUAAUGUAGUUGGUACUGUGAUGAGUGUGACGUUGCCAUCACGCGCGCGCCCGCGCGCUGUAUUCGUUCGGGUAAU